ensembl:lncRNA
GCAGGGUAGGGGACGUAAAGGAGCAGGAGGAUGGCAGGGGACGUAAAGGAGCAAGAGCAGUGCAGGGGACGUAAAGGAGCAAGAGCAGGGCAGGGGACGUCAAGGAGCAGGAGGAGGGCAGGGAACUUAAAGGAGCAGGAGGAUGGCAGGGGACGUAAAGGAGCAGGAGGAGGGCAGGGGACGUAAAGGAGCAGGAGGAGGGCAGGGGACGUAAAGGAGCAGGAGCAGGGCAGGGGACGUAAAGGAUCAGGGCAGGGGACGUAAAGGAGCAAGAGCAGGGCAGGGGACGUAAAGGAGCAGGAGGAGGGCAGGGGACGUAAAGGAGCAGGAGGAUGGCAGGGGACGUAAAGGAGCAGGAGGAGGGCAGGGGACGUAAAGGAGCAGGAGGAUGGCAGGGGAGGUAAAGGAGCAGGAGGAGGGCAGGGGACGUAAAGGAGCAGGAGGAGGGCAGGGACAUGGGCAGGGGAGGUAAAGGAGCAGGGAGAUGGCAGGGGAGGUAAAGGACCAGGAGCAGAGCAGGGGAGGUAAAGAAGCAGGAGGAGGGCAGGGGACGUAAAGGAGCAGGAGGAGGGCAGGGGACGUAAAGGAGCAGGAGGAGGGCAGGGGACGUAAAGGAGCAGGAGGAGGGCAGGGGACGUAAAGGAGCAAGAGCAGGGUAGGGGACGUAAAGGAGCAGGAGGAUGGCAGGGGACUUAAAG